UGAGGGAAAGGUGAAAAGCACUUCGAACAGAAGAGUGAAAUAGUUCCUGAAACCGUGCGCCUACAAGCGGUCGGAGCUCGUUAAUGAGUGACGGCGUGCCUUUUGCAUAAUGAACCUACGAGUUGCCUUUGCCGGCAAGGUUAAGUGUGACGACACACGUAUCCGAAGCGAAAGCGAGUCUGAAGAGGGCGUAUAGUCGGCAGUGGCAGACGCGAAACCAAGUGAUCUACCCUUGGCCAGGUUGAAGGCUGGGUAACACCAGCUGGAGGACCGCACCAAUAAGCGUUGAAAAGCUUCUGGAUGAGCUGAGGGUAGGGGUGAAAGGCUAAUCAAACUUGGAGAUAGCUCGUACUCCCCGAAAUGCAUUUAGGUGCAGCCUUGCGGGUUACUGAUGUGAGGUAGAGCGACUGAUAAGAUGCGAGGGCUUCACCGCCUAUCAAGUCUUGACAAACUCCGAAUGCGCAUCAGUUCUACCGCAGGAGUGAGGGCAUGGGUGCUAAGGUCCGUGCCCGAGAGGAGAAGAAUCCGGACCACCUGCUAAGGUCCCGAAAUGACAGCUAAGUUAAACUAACGAAGUCUGACUGCUAAGACAGCUAGGAUGUUGGCUUGGAAGCAGCCAUUCAUUUAAAGAGUGCGUAACAGCUCACUAGUCGAGGAGUCGGGCGUGGAUAAUAAUCGGGUAUGAAGUUGUCUACCGAAGCAGUGGGAUCAUUAAUAUGAUCGGUAGGGGAGCAUUCCAGUCAGCGUCGAAGGCGUACCGUGAGGUAUUCUGGAGCGUCUGGAAAAGCAAAUGUAGGUAUAAGUAACGAUAAAGGGGGCGGGAAACCCCCUCGCCGAAAGACUAAGGUUUCCUGAUCAACGCUAAUCGGAUCAGGGUCAGUCGGGUCCUAAGGCUCAGCCGAACGGCGAUGCCGAUGGCAGAAACGGUUAAUAUUCCGUUACUACCUUCAGGAGUGACGUGGAGACGCAGUAGUGACAGUGCCGCCAUCUGACGGAAUAGAUGGUUGAAGGGUGUAGGAGUCGAUCAUGGCAGGCAAAUCCACCAUGAGAUCCGAACCUGACAGUAUGCCGCGUCCUUCGGGACAAGGCAAUAGUGCGCGUAAGCAUGCUGCCGAGAAAAUCCGCUAAACUUAAUCCUGCAGGUACCCGUACCGCAAACGGACACACGUAGUCGGGAUGAAUAUUCUAAGGCGCUUGAGUGAUUCACGGUUAAGGAACUAGGCAAACUGACCCUGUAACUUCGGGAUAAAGGGUCCCUACCCUUUUAUGGGAGGGCGCAGAGAAUCGGUCCAGGCAACUGUUUAACAAAAACACAGGGCUGUGCCAAAUCGAAAGAUCCAGUAUACAGCCUGACACCUGCCCGGUGCUGGAAGGUUAAGAGGAGAUGUCAUCGAUAAGAGAAGCGUUGAAUUGAAGCCCCAGUAAACGGCGGCCGUAACUAUAACGGUCCUAAGGUAGCGAAAUUCCUUGUCGGGUAAGUUC
rnacentral:rRNA from 1 species